rnacentral:snRNA from 1 species
AUUGCCUCUUGGGCUUCUGACUAAGAUAAAGAAUAGUGUCUGCUCUUACCAGUUUAAUAUGAUACGUCCUCCAUUGGAGAACAACAUAUUAAACAGGAGGAAGGGGGUUUCCUGCCACCAGAACCCAUCCUGG